rnacentral:rRNA from 1 species
UCCACGCAGUAAACGAUGUCUAUUAGAAUUUUGUAGCUAUAUGCUGUGGGAUUCAAAGCUAACGCAUUAAAUAGACCGCCUGGGGAGUACGGCCGCAAGGUUAAAACUCAAAUGAAUUGACGGGGGCCCGCACAAGCGGUGGAGCAUGUGGUUUAAUUCGAUGCAACGCGAAGAACCUUACCAUCCCUUGACAUCCAGAGAAUCUGUUAGAGAUAGUAGAGUGCCUUCGGGAACUCUGAGACAGGUGCUGCAUGGCUGUCGUCAGCUCGUGUUGUGAAAUGUUGGGUUAAGUCCCGCAACGAGCGCAACCCUUAUCCUUAUUUGCCAGCGGGUAAUGCCGGGAACUCUAGGGACACUGCCGGUGAUAAACCGG